UGAUCAGAAAGCUUGAUUCGAUUUGAUCGAAGAUUCUCUCUCCGCCGCCAACUUCCGAUUGUGCUUUGUCGGUCUACGACGAUAUAUAAUCUCGGUUUUGGAGCUUCAAUCCACAGCUUUGUUAUCUUUUUCUCGAUCUCUGGCUUCAUCGCUCUUCACCUUAAUCACGUCACUUCUUCUUCUUCUUCUUCUUCUUCUUCUUCUUCGUCUUCCGCUGCGAUCAAGCCGAAACACGUCGUCGUCGGCAACAAUGGAAAGAUUGAAAUUGCAGGGAUCAUAUUCUGAACAAGGUGGGGUCCUACUGAUUCAGCCAGAAGGCCACCUAGGAGAUCUCCUCCGGUGAUGACAUCAACGGAAUUUAUGAUGAUAUGAACUUAGGAUUUUACCUUUUUGCAUAUGAUGACAUUGGGCAUUUCCUGCGAAAAGGUCUGCGACUCAUCUAGUCACAUUUGCAGUUUCACUCGGGUUAUCAGUAAGCACCCAGUCUUUUGGACAGCAGCCCUACUUUUUCCGAGUCUUUGUUUCUCCCAAAGGAAGAAAUGAGUACGUGAUGUGCUAGGUUAACUCACUGUAAUUAUCAAAAUGUACUGAAAUCUGAAAAGUAUAUUGGAAACCAGUCCAACAAUACCAUAGAAGGGCUGAAGAAAUAAUGAGGAUUGUCU
rnacentral:lncRNA from 1 species